GCUUGGAUUAUCCCUCGUAAAUGUUUAUCGGUAAAUCUUUGCCUUUAAAAAAAACUGUCGGCGGGAUAAACGUUUCAUAACCCACUCGUGACUAGGCUUUUCCAUAUUAAAAUUUUACUCAUGUUAUCGACUGUUUAUUCCUAAGUGUCGACACUAUGGCCAAGACCGAGACAGCAGACCCGUUCCGACAACGUAAUCUGCGGGCAGGUUUCAUUGGACUGGUCUUACUCGGAGGGACCUUGCUGAUUAUCUUUGUUUUUUUUUAUCUCUACGAGAACGAACCAAAUUUCAAUGCUAUCUUACAUACUUGACGACAUUAGCACUUCUAAUUCUUCUGAUGGGGUUCUCCUGUCCGCUUCCUUUUUAACGAAUAAUCCGAAUGGGACCUAUCCCGAUAAGUCACCUUGUUACUACACUCGACUUCGGAAAGCUCCCAAGAAACCUGAAGAAUCUGCCUCUAAUGACCAGAAGACAGCGAAAUGCCGUAAACACGAGUGAGUCAACGGCAAUGUUUUGAAAUGGGGCAGACCAUAACAUGAAUACAUUUUCGGGUGGUUGUAGGAGGUUGUGUGGGGCAAACAAUUCUGGAAAUUCUGGGAAGAGUGGCAAGUUUAGAAUAAAUAAGGAAAACCAAGUGCAAAAUCAUGUGAGGAAGCCAACAAAUAUUUCAAUAAUCCUAACUACGACCCAACACCUAGAAGAUGCAGCACAAAGAAUAACGAAGAUAUCUGCCAGGUCAUAAGCAACAGCAGCAGCGAGUCGCCAGACUUCAAAUGUGACGUCACAGUAUGCGGGGGGUCCCUUGUUUCCAUCACAAAGGUCGAUGCGAAGACUGGUCUGGUGGCUUCCUGGCAAUAUAUGAACCCCUUCGAUGUCAAUAAAGUCAAGGAAAUGGCAAAAAAGGCUCUGGAUGAGGGGUUCUCCUUCGUGUUUCUCCGUUGCAAUGGGUUUCAACAAGUGCUGAUGUUCCCACCUAAGCGAAUACAGCCAACAGUCCCUUUGAAAAAGAGAAUUAAUAUUAAUACAGUCGUGGUUGACUCUGUCGCAAGGACGCACUUUUUUCGGGCGAUGAAGAGAUCUGUGUCUGCCAUGCGGGAGAUUAUUUAUGACGACACCAUUCCGGCAACUGUACUGGACUUUGAGUUUUUCCACGAAAUCAGCAUGCACACCUUUGAUAACAUCCGACCGCUGUUUUCAAGCAACAGCAGCAGCGAGUCGCCAGACUUCAAAUGUGACGUCACAGUAUGCGGGGGGUCCCUUGUUUCCAUCACAAAUACAUCAUAAGGCGCAAGCGCGGCCCCUCUGAUCUCGUACCAGCACUUCAACAUGGGGCAUACUCCCACAGGGACGCGCGUCACUAACGAUGACGAGCCGUUAGCGCAGUUUCUUAACGCAAUCGCGAACGACCCGAACACGCUCACGAUAGUGCUUUCGGAUCACGGGCUCACGCGCACAUCAUACGCAAGCACAGACGAAGGCCAAAACGAGCUAUACAGUCCAUUCCUUUUUAUGGUACUGCCUAAUCACGUAGCUUUUUUACUUGGGAAACAGAGAGUUGAGGCUUUAUUAAAGAACCAACAACGGAUCUUCACAACAUUAGACUUGCAUAAAGCGCUGAUGUCUCUUCACAGUACGGAUAAGCCAUCAAGUAAUUAUAAACAAGCGGGGAUAUUUGCUAAGAUCUCUGCUGACAGGACGUGCUCUGAUCUACCGUUGUCGCCGUUGGCGCGCUGUCGCUGCAAA